rnacentral:rRNA from 1 species
AUUGAACGCUGGCGGCAUGCUUUACACAUGCAAGUCGAACGGUAACAGGGUGCUUGCACCGCUGACGAGUGGCGAACGGGUGAGUAAUGCGUCGGAACGUGCCGAGUAGUGGGGGGUAACGCAGCGAAAGUUGUGCUAAUACCGCAUACGUACUGAGGUAGAAAGUGGGGGACCUUCGGGCCUCACGCUAUUCGAGCGGCCGACGUCUGAUUAGCUAGUAGGUGAGGUAAAGGCUCACCUAGGCGACGAUCAGUAGCGGGUCUGAGAGGAUGAUCCGCCACACUGGGACUGAGACACGGCCCAGACUCCUACGGGAGGCAGCAGUGGGGAAUUUUGGACAAUGGGCGAAAGCCUGAUCCAGCCAUGCCGCGUGUCUGAAGAAGGCCUUCGGGUUGUAAAGGACUUUUGUCGGGGAGGAAAUCCCCAGCGUUAAUACCGCUGGGGGAUGACAGUGCCUGAAGAAUAAGCACCGGCUAACUACGUGCCAGCCGCCGCCGUAAUAC